CCGUUCUGACGGCGAGAGCGACAACGAACGCGCGCAUCCGCGCUGCGGGCUCUCCAGCGCCCCUCCUCAUCUGGGGGCUGGGAGCUCGUCUACCACGAUCACGCCCGUCCGCUGGGAGUGCGGGACUGACAGCCGCCAGUGUGGCUCCGGCCUCCGGGUGCACGUCGCCAUGUCCGCCGCCAUCGCGGUCCGGUUAGGGCACAGGAUGCAGCGGUCUCGCCUCCAGCAUCGCCCAUCCAGUCAACAUGUGCCCCACCGAGCACCUAUGCUUCUCCAGCCUAUCAAAGGUCACCUCAAUCAAGAUUACUGCAGGCAUCGCAACUCAAGCUGGUGUUCAGAAUAAAGUAAAAUCAUGCCUGUCUUGCAACUGCAAGGGAUCGAAGGCCACGCUCGGCGUACUUGUCUAUCACGGUGUGAACCAAGUUCCUGACAUUAUCUCCACAGUUGCAGAGGUCCAAGAUCUACAUUCAUAUGCAUGCCAUGGUUAGUACCAGAAACGUGUGUGAUGUGUGCAGGAAAAAAAAGCCAUUAAUUUCCAGUGGAAAAUAAG